UACAGUCAUAUCACAUUGAAACACUAGUUCUCAAGUGAUCACCGAAGUUAAGCAACAUUAAGCCUACCAAGAUGGGUGACCACUUGGGAAUACCAGGUGCUGUAAG